rnacentral:rRNA from 1 species
UGAGGAAUAUUGCGCAAUGGGGGCAACCCUGACGCAGCGACGCCGCGUGGAUGAUGAAGGCCUUCGGGUCGUAAAAUCCUGUCAGAUGGAAAGAAAUGUCAUAUGCCUAAUAUGUGUAUGAUUUGACGGUACCAUCAAAGGAAGCACCGGCUAACUCCGUGCCAGCAGCCGCGGUAAUACGGAGGGUGCAAGCGUUGUUCGGAAUUACUGGGCGUAAAGCGCGCGUAGGCGGCUUUUUAAGUCAGAUGUGAAAGUCCACGGCUCAACCGUGGAAGUGCAUUUGAUACUGAAAAGCUUGAGUACUGGAGGGGAUGGUGGAAUUCCCGGUGUAGAGGUGAAAUUCGUAGAUAUCGGGAGGAAUACCGGUGGCGAAGGCGACCAUCUGGCCAGAUACUGACGCUGAGGUGCGAAAGCGUGGGGAGCAAACAGG